AGACUCACCAGUUCCUGCUUUGAUGUGACAUGUGACUCCCCAGAAUACAUCUUGCUUCUGUAGACCAGCUCCAACAGGAUUCCAUGGUAGCUGGAAUGUUAGGGCUCAGGUUUUAUUAGAGAUUGGGAGGGAGCAAGUCCGUGGGAGGUUGUAACCAGCCAUUUGAAGCUAAUUCUCUAACCCAUGUGGAAUUGAUCCUAUUGUGUGGUAUGUGAUGCAAUGGAAGUGGUCAUAGGAAGCAAGUCACAGCCCCGUCCCCCAUACUUGCUCUGGCAGUUCACACGUGCUCAUUCCAGGUAAAUGCCAGGCUCUGAGAAGGGAGUUCCAGUGGGCUCUGGGCUGCAAGAACAGUAUUCAAUCUUCCCAUUGUAUUUUCUCCCUGGUUAGUGUUUUGACACAGGGAAGUGACUGAAUGUGCUGAUUUUUUUUUCUUGUCACCAGGUGUGUUACUUUUUUAGCCAGUCCCCAGAGUUAUCUAUGGGGUGGAGGUUUUAGUCCCUGCUGCUUGCCCACUGCUUCCCCAUGACUUUGAACCCCUGUCAUCCAAAGCCAGGGUCAGUGUAGGGCGGGGGUGCAGGCUGCUGCUGGGGAGGUUGCUGGGACAGGUGGAACCUCCAUCCGUACCUGUGUGUCUCUUUCUGGGUGUUCCAGCAGUGCAGGCUCCCUGGGGCACUGCGGCCCUUCUCUGCUCUCCCCCUUCUCAGCAGUUCCCCAGGGAAACCCCCCAGCCUAUUAACUGGCCUUUCCGUGGAGGGCACUAGUGGUAUUCCAGGCCCUUCCAUUUGCCACCAGCAAACUGCCCUCGGGCCAGCCUGGCUCCGAGGUCCUGUCGUUGUGCCCUUGAAGAUUUCCUAGGGCUGUUGGGGAGUCCUGUGUGCAGACCUCGCUGACGGGUCCCUCCUGCACUCUCGUAUCUGAGCAGGGUAGAGCGGUGCGACCAGUACGGGACUCACACGGAGCCUGAUGGCGCCGUAUCUACAGCAGUCUCUCGGAGUACCUCAGCCGUCGCUGGCACCCUUAUUUGCCAGCACCGAUAGAGAUUUCCCUUCUUUUUUCUAUUUUGUUGGCCGUUUCAGCGGGCUCAGACGUCAUCACUGGGAAAAAGAAGCUUGUCGGGCGUGCAGAUAGGAGGUGACCUACACUAUAGGGGGAGACACAGUAAGGAAAACAAAGUGAGCUGGCUCUUCUGCAGAGUUCUCUCAUCUGUUACUGGAGAUCUCCUUUCUGCCCCUUUUUUCCCCCAAACACAUAUUGUUUCCAUUGAAAAUUUAUUUUGGCAGAUAUUCUGUUCUUCAACAAAAGCAGCCAACGUUCUGAUAAAAGUCUGUAAAACUUAAAGUAUACCAAGGUAAGAAGAAAACAGCACCAACAGAAAAGUGGGGGAAGAGGUAGCUGUGGGAAUGUACUGCCAGGGACCAAAAAGGCAAAUAUGUGAGUGCACGUGGAAACUGGCUGCUGGGAUGUUGAAGACUGGAUAUUUGUCGGGGCACCUGCGUGGCUCAGGCGGUUGAGCAUCAGACUUCGGCUCGGGUCCUGAUCUCGCGGUUCGUGGGUUCAAGCCCCGCGUCGGUCUCUGUGCUGACGGCUCGGAGCCUGGAGCCCGCUUGGGAUUCUGUGUCUCCCUCUCUCUCUCUGCCCCUCCCCUGCUCCCGCUCUGUCAGUCUCUCUCUCAAAAAUAAAUAAAUGGUAAAAAAAAAAAAAUGUUUUUUAAAAGACUGGAUAUUUGUCAUGAGGACACUGGAGGCCCAGGGUCCGGGCACUCGCGCAGAGGAUCUCCAUGAGCACCCUGAGGCAUGUAGGAGCAAAGGCACCGGGGAACGUGAUGGAAGAGAAGUUGCUGGCUGUGGAAGGUGGAGAAUGGAGAGCAAGGUCAAACAACAUGGGCUUUCCAGGGGAAGAGACGAAAUAGCAGAAACAUCAGGAAUGAGGAUUGGGUUCUUGGUUUCCUCCCGUUCUCCUCUCCUCUGGCCAGCUCCCCGCACAGUUGCCUUCAUGGAGACAGCCGCGGGUGAAGCCACCCUGCUUGGGUUGCCGUCGUGAUCCACAACCUCACCAGCUCUACCAUCUUGGACCCUCCCCUCCUCCCGCUGCCAGCAGCCUCACAUCCUCGGGUCACAGUGUUGCCAUCUCAUCCAUAUUCUGGAGUUCUUCCCCUCCCUUCCGGGGUCUCCCCUUUCACAACACUCCUCACAACUGCCGAUUUCAGUACUGUCUGCUUUAGAAGAUGGUCAGCACCAGCAGAAAGAGAAGUGGGUGCUGGUAGAAAGCUUGUCUCUUUGCUGUAGCGCCCCCGGCCCUGGCACAGCUCAUCUGCCGUACCUCGAAGGUGCUUGAAGGAUGUCAGCUACUGGAUGAGUGAGUCGGGGAGAUGAAACGUUCCUUCGCGCCACUCCCAGCGGCCUCGCUGUGAUCACUUCUGUUUAAAGUUUGCCCCUACCCGCUAAGCACUCCAGAGUGGAAGCAGUUUCUGCUGCCCUCUGUUACUCCUGUCUAGUUCCAGACCAUUUUCAUCAACUCCAAAGGAAACCCUGUGGACAGCAGCCCGGCAGUUCCUCAGAAGGUUAAACAUAGAAUUCGCAUAGGACCCAGUAUUUCCACUCUAGGUACAGACCCGAGAGAAUUGAAAACACACACCCAUGCAGAAACUCGUACACAGAUGUGAUAGCAUCUAAAAGGGGGAAACAACCCGGGUGUUCAUCAGCGGACGUACGGGAUAAAAAAGUGUGGUGUCCUCAUACAAUGGAACGUUGGCCGUAAAAGGGGAUUAAGUUCUGAUACACACUACAGCAUGAAUGAACCUAGAAAACAUGCUGAGUGGAAGGAGGCAGUCACAAAAGGCCAUAUAUCGUAUGAUUCCAUGUAUAUGAAAUGUCCAGAACAGGUAAAAUCCAUAGAGACAGAAAGAUUAGUAGUUGCCGAGUGCCGGAAGUAGGGGGGCCUGGGGGAAUGACUGCUUAAUGGGUGUGGGGUUUCCCCGAGGGGUGAUGAGAUGUUCCGGACUAGAUAGUGGUGAUGGUUGCACAACGCUGUGAAUGUACUAAGUGCCGCUAAUGGUAAAUUUUAUGUGUGUUUUACCACAGUAAAAAAAAAAAAAAAAAAAAAA